CAUGGGUGCUGGAAAUUGAACUUGGGUCCCCUGGAGGAGCAACAAGCCCUCUUAACUGCGUCUGUGGCUCGGGAUUCCACAUGUGGUUGGAAACAUCCCUUAAGGCUUCAGGCAUGGCAGCUGAAGUCAUCCUGAGUUUGUUCAACAUCUGCUAAGCUCACCAUUAGGAGGAUGGUAAAGAGUUCACCUCACUUUGGAAGUUACCUAACCCAGGACCACCAGCCCAGUGAUGGUACCACCCACAACGAGCAGAGUCCUUCUCUCUCCCGUAAAUCAAGAAAAUGCCCUACAGGCUUCCCUAUGGUCUGAACUUAUGGAGGCAUUUUUUUUUUCUUUCAAAUGAGGCUCCCUCCUCUCUAAUGACUCUAGCUUGUGUCAAGUUCACAUAAAACUAGCCACCAUGACAUAUAUGGUGGCUUAACGACCAUACACAUACAAUAAAAUAAAAAGAAUUUAAAAAAAAAAGAAAGAAAUUGAAUGCAUGACCAGGCAUGGUGGCACACACUUGUAAUCCAAGUAUCUGGCAGGAGGAUCAUGAGUUCAAGGCUUGUCUGGGCUAUGUAGUGCCACGUGUUUCAAAACCAUAACAAAGAAGAAGGGAGGAGGAGGAGAAGGAGGGGUAAAGAGGAGGGAUGAGGAGUGGGGGGAAGAGAGGAGGAAGGAUAGGACUUGGAUCCAUGCUCUACUCUUUAAAAAAAACAAGAGGAGGCUGGAGUGAUGGCUCA
ensembl:lncRNA